UUCGUCACCGUUGGGUGAAGAUUCGGUCAGACAAUGCUGUGGUGGUAGCCUACAUAAACCUUCAGGGUGGCACCAGAAGCCGCAGGAUGAUGGUAUUUAUGCAUCAGUUGAUGUCAUGGUCUCAACGACACCUGGUAGGCCUCACAGCAAUUCAUCUUCCGGGGAAACAGAAUCAGAUCGCGGAUUUCCUCAGCAGAUCCAGAAUCGAUCCAGGAGAGUGGUCUUUGUCGGAC